CCUUCCCUCCAGAGAUGCUGCCUGCCCCGCAUUUUGUGCCUACGGUUUAAACCAGCAUUUAAAACCAGUUGUAUUAACUUAUCACAACGAGCCUUCUCUAAUUGAAUAUACGUCUAUCAAAGCAUUUGAUGCUUGCCUUUAAUAAAACAUCCGCUUUGCUAAUGUGGCUGUCGAACCAGUGGUGCAAGGGUCUGUGUUUGUAGCCUCCGGACAACCUUUCCCCUCUACCCCUGGAGCGUGCCUGAUGGAUUAUGAGCCGGUGUAGACUGAUUACACCGCCUCUCGCCGCGGGCUGGCCUUUCUGUCACUUUAAGUCGCAGAUACAAAUCCUUACGAGAAGACGCUCCGGCACGGAGAAGGUAUGGGUUAUUUUGUGGCUGAUUUGCACUUUGUGCUACCACUGCUUGCUUCGAUAUUAUAGUGAAACCAUUCCCAUCGUGAGGCGACAGCUCCCUCUACAGGACCAACUCUGACCAGGUCACCGCCGCCCCCAACUCCCUCCAGCCCAGCCCAGGGACAUACCCUUCCCUGACAUUUCUGCUCUGCUAAAACUAAAAAAAAAGGGAAGAGGGAUAUUAAAGCAAUCAGGAGACCUCUAAUGCUUCGCGCCGGCGCCGUAAGAGGGAAACUGCAAGAAUAACUUCCGACCGCAUUAACAUUACUUGAGUAAACUGGAACAUUCUCUGUGAACUCAAUUACCGUUCAUGUAUAUGUAAAUGAAUGCGUGCGAGUUGCCGGCUAUGAAAGGCACAUUUAACACAGCGUCCCAUCUGCAGUAACUGCCGGAGUAGCGCAAACGCUGCGAAAAUAUCAGACUCAAUCAAAACUAUCUAUCCAGUAACGAAUAUAAAACUGGGUCUUUGGUUAAGACAUGGGAGAUUACUUCAAGUGUAUGCUUCAUACCUCAUUUACUAUGUAUAUGUCAGUCUUGUGUAAGCUUAGAAUAUUGUUGUACUGAGCGAGAUGGUAUUCUUGAAAUUGAAAUUUUCUUUUCAGCGCGCUUGUUAAUUCUAGCGUCAAGUUCAGUUUAUUUAAAAAGGCCAAAUUUCGUUCAUUUCCAACGUUUGCUAAAAGCCGGCUCGCUCUCCAUCUCAAUGUUCUGAAAAGCUUCAGUAGUCGUGUAGAUGUAGUCGCAGGCAUAGAUAAAUAAUCGUUUUAUUCCCCCCCAACCCCUCCCUCCACUCGGUACAGUGGGUUGUUCAAUACAGAUGCAGAAAAACAUAUUUAGUUUAUUUUGCUUUCAAAAUUAUCAAAACGAGAUUUAUUCAUAAUAUAAAUCGGUGUGAAUUCAUUUUGUAAUUCAACUAGAAUUCGUAUGCAUUCAUUUACAACCAUACGCAAAGAUCUUUAAGUCGAUCAGACUGGCGGUGACAGCUACUGUUUUAUCGAUUAUGCUCCGACAGAAAUUGUAACGCACACUUAGUUGUACGGUAUGAUGGAGGGGAUUCCUGUAUCUCUGAGCCUGCCUGCCAUCGGCGCAACGCCAGUGCCCAACAACUUGUCCAACUUCUGUCUCAACAAGGUUGUUUAAAAAAAAAAGAUUUCAAGCUGAAUAUGUUUGUAUGUUAAUGCGCUUUAAAUACACAGGGUUUAAAAUUGGAUUAAAGUUAGUUUCUUUGUUUAA